rnacentral:tRNA from 2 species
GGGCCCGUAGCUUAGCCAGGUGGAGCGCACGGCUGAUAACCGUGAGGUCGCCGGUUCAAACCCGGCCGGGCCCA